rnacentral:rRNA from 1 species
CAGCAGCCGCGGUAAGACAGAGGAUGCAAGCGUUAAUCGGAUUUACUGGGCGUAAAGCGUGCGUAGGCGGCUUCUUAAGUCGGAUGUGAAAUCCCUGAGCUUAACUUAGGAAUUGCAUUCGAUACUGGGAAGCUAGAGUAUGGGAGAGGAUGGUAGAAUUCCAGGUGUAGCGGUGAAAUGCGUAGAGAUCUGGAGGAAUACCGAUGGCGAAGGCAGCCAUCUGGCCUAAUACUGACGCUGAGGUACGAAAGCAUGGGGAGCAAACACGAUUAGAUACCCCCGUAGUCCCUGUCUCUUAUAC